UAUCCUCCCAUAUGAUCUUAACUGCAUGGGCCAUGACUGGAUCAUGAUGAACAACUGACCAAAGAGAACUCAAUCCGUUAGCUAGACAGUGGCUUAUGACUCAUGUGGUCCAGCUCAAACAGAUGAGCUGGGCCAAUCAGACCCUCACAAAUUGUGUAUCAAGACACACACAAGCCAGUUGCUAUCAGUGCUGUCGGGAAGGCCACUGGAGUCAUACGCAAGGUCUGAUGCUGAUUCUCCUGCCCCCCUCACAGGGCAGUGAUGUGGAACCAAGUGAGACAGUGCACAGAAAAGCAUUUUAUUGGCUGAACAGCCCUGUGAUAACUACGAGAGGGUAAGGUCUUGUUACCAUGGUACAUAUGAAGGGCUAGGAGGAAGAAUAUAAGAUGGUGGCCAAGGGGUACCACCACCACCUCCUUCAGACACCAAGGGAGGGUGUGCAGAGCUCAUCCCUUCUGAGGAUGUCCACUCUCCCACUCCUCAGCAUUGGACCCGAAGUCUAAGGACUUACGCUGUAGAUACAUUUAGCAAAUCUCUUCCUUUUCAAAUGUGUAUCAUUUAUUCAUUUUAUUAUUUUCUUCCUGACAUAUUUAUAAUUUAAUCUGGUAAUGUUAGGACAAAAU
rnacentral:lncRNA from 10 species